rnacentral:rRNA from 2 species
UUAAAGGAAUUGACGGAAUGGCACCACCAGGAGUGGAGCCUGCGGCUUAAUUUGACUCAACACGGGGAACCUCACCAGGCCCGGACACCAGAAGGAUUGACAGAUUAAGAGCUCUUUCUCGAUUUGGUGGGUGGUGGUGCAUGGCCGUUCUUAGUUGGUGGAGUGAUUUGUCUGGUUAAUUCCGGUAACGAACGAGACUCUGGCCUAUUAAAUAGUCGACGUGGGUUUUGGUGCAUGGGCCCCGUUCGAUAAUGUCUUCUUAGAGGGAUGAGCAGCGAGUAUAGCUGCAGGAGAUUGAGCAAUAACAGGUCUGUGAUGCCCUUAGAUGUCCUGGGCCGCACGCGCGCUACACUGAAUGGAUUAGCGGGUUCUCCUUCUCCGAGAGGAGCGGGAAAUCGCGUGAAAACCAUUCGUGAUAGGGAUUGGGGCUUGCAAUUGUUUCCCAUGAACGAGGAAUUCCCAGUAAGCGCAAGUCAUCAGCUUGCGUUGAUUAAGUCCCUGCCCUUUGUACACACCGCCCGUCGCUACUACCGAUUGAAUGAUUUAGUGAGGCCUUCGGACUGGCGGUCUUGGACUGGGCUCCGCUCGCUACUACUCCAGCAAUGGGGGGCGGCGGACUCGCCAUGACGUGCCGGAAAGAUGUCCAAACUUGAUCAUUUANAGGAAGUAAAAAUCGUAACAAGGUUUCC